AGUCGAACGGCAGCGCGGGGCAACCUGGCCGGCGAGUGGCGAACGGGUGAGUAAUAUAUCGGAACGUACCCUGGAGUGGGGGAUAACGUAGCGAAAGUUACGCUAAUACCGCAUACGAUCUAAGGAUGAAAGUGGGGGAUUCGCAAGAACCUCAUGCUCCUGGAGCGGCCGAUAUCUGAUUAGCUAGUUGGUGGGGUAAAGGCCUACCAAGGCAUCGAUCAGUAGCUGGUCUGAGAGGACGACCAGCCACACUGGAACUGAGACACGGUCCAGACUCCUACGGGAGGCAGCAGUGGGGAAUUUUGGACAAUGGGCGAAAGCCUGAUCCAGCAAUGCCGCGUGAGUGGAGAAGGCCUUCGGGUUGUAAAGCUCUUUUGUCAGGGAAGAAACGGUGAGAGCUAAUAUCUCUUGCUAAUGACGGUACCUGAAGAAUAAGCACCGGCUAACUACGUGCCAGCAGCCGCGGUAAUACGUAGGGUGCAAGCGUUAAUCGGAAUUACUGGGCGUAAAGCGUGCGCAGGCGGUUUUGUAAGUCUGUCGUGAAAUCCCCGGGCUCAACCUGGGAAUUGCGAUGGAGACUGCAAGGCUAGAAUCUGGCAGAGGGGGGGUAGAAUUCCACGUGUAGCANUGAAAUGCGUAGAGAUGUGGAGGAACACCGAUGGCGAAGGCAGCCCCCUGGGUCAAGAUUGACGAUCAUGCACGAAAGCGUGGGGAGCAAACAGGAUUAGAUACCCUGGUAGUCCACCCCCUAAACGAUGUCUACUAGUUGUCGGGUUUUAAUUAACUUGGUAACGCACCUAACGCGUGAAGUAA
rnacentral:rRNA from 1 species